AGGACGAACGCUGGCGGCGUGCCUAAUGCAUGCAAGUCGCACGCACGGAGCUUGCUCCGUGAGUGGCGCACGGCUGAGGAUCACGUGGGAACAUGCCUCCUUGUGGGGGACAACACCGCGAAAGCGGUGCUAAUCCCGCAUACGCUCGGGCAACCGAGGAAAGCGGCAACGCGCAGGGAGAGUGGCCCGCGGCCCAUCAGGUCGUUGGUGGGGUAAUGGCCUACCAAGCCGGUGACGGGUAGCUGGUCUGUGAGGACAGACAGCCAGACUGGGACUGAGACACGGCCCAGACUCCUACGGGAGGCAGCAGCAAGGAAUUUCGCAAUGGGCGCAAGCCUGAACGAGACAACGCCGCGUGGAGGAUGGACGGCCGUUCGGGUUACGUUAAACGUCCGUUUUUCGGGGACUAGUAAUGGACCGGUACCCGGAAUAA
rnacentral:rRNA from 1 species